rnacentral:lncRNA from 1 species
CGACUUCGAGUUAGGCUACGAACUAGGCCCGAAAGAUUUUGGACUAGGUUUGGGCUUAACUAUAGAGCCCAUAUUUUUUUUCGGGCUGGGCUCAGGGGGUUUGGGCUUAAAUAUUAGAGCCCAUAUUUUUCAGGCCGGGCUUGGGUAUAUCAUUGGCCUGGCCUAGGCUCGGCCCAAGCCCAAGCCCGAGCUCAAACAGGCCCGAAAUGGAGCCCUAACUCAAGCCCAGACCCAGCUCGAACUUAGCCCCAAAACAGAACCUGAACUUUGGUACUUGUUUACUACUUAGAAAGUAGGAAUGCCAUUUCCAAUUAUGUUAUCAAUUUACUUUUUUGGUAAACAUAUUUUUGAUCAUCAGAUGGUUGCUAAUGUGAAGCUACAAUAUUUCAUCAAAAAAAUGUGAAGCUAUAGUAUGAAAGAUUGAAAGAUUAAGCUUCAAUGGGUUCGGGCCAGCCUAAUUUUUAGUCAAAAUGGAUAAUUCGGGUUGGCCCAAUUGGGUUCGGGUUGGGCCCAGAUCUGGACUUGGGUUGGGCUCGGGUUGGGAUUGUUCAAAAGUUUUCGGACCUCAGCUUGGCCCGAAGCCCCAAAAAAAUUUCUGGCAGGUCUUAUGUAGGAGAUUGGCUCGGCCCAGCCGGG